UACGUAGGUGGCAAGCGUUGUCCGGAUGUACUGGGUGUAAAGGGCGUGCAGCCGGGCUGACAAGUCAGAUGUGAAAUCCCGCGGCUCAACCGCGGAACUGCAUUUGAAACUGUCAGUCUUGAGUACCGGAGAGGUCAUCGGAAUUCCUUGUGUAACGGCGAAAUGCGUAGAUAUAAGGAAGAACACCAGUGGCGAAGGCGGAUGACUGGACGGCAACUGACGGUGAGGCGCGAAAGUGUGGGGAGCAAACAGG
rnacentral:rRNA from 1 species